AUUAACUUGAAACGAAAGUAGGACAUAGUCUCAAAGGUUGUAGGUAUUUCAAAAAUAGUCACUGAACACUUCUUCAUGAAUCAUUCUCAUAUUACCACUAAACACGAUACCAAAUUAAGUUGUACAUUACACAAACCAAGGAUGUCUGUUUUAGACCAUGACUGGUAGAAAACUGGGCUUGCAAGACAAUGAAAGAAGAAAUUCUAAGGUACGAGUACUGUUGAAAUGUCAGUUUCCAGAUCCCCCAGGACUAAUGCUUGCUGAUCCAGCCUUACAAGGCGUUGCUUGCCUUCACUUAGUUUCAUUUAAAUUAAUGGCUAGUAGACAGAGCUCUUAAUUUAUAGAAGUUUAGGGGAAAUAAUAAAAAAAAAAAGCAGUAAAUUACUACUAAGCACAUCGUUUUCAUUUCUUUAAAUUGAGAUCAUGAAUUCAAGACUAGCUUGUUUUUUCCAGCAAUAAACUCCCAACUUUCUUAUACCUCCCAGCCAUAAACACGUAAGACUUUGUUUUGAAUUUGGCAAAAAUACGUAUUCUCUUCUACAACUCCUUGUUCUAUAAAAAGCCAGAUACACAAAAGUAAAUUGUAAGGGUUUCCCUUUAAAACAUUAGCAUUACCAGGGCCCUCAACCCUAUUUUUUAGGGAACCACAAUAAUUCAAUUAAAGGAACUGUCAUCACAACUGGGAAGGUAGUGUAUUUCAGGAACUGUGUAGCCAGCCUGUCACAGGUCCUCUGCAGAUUCAGCCAGCCUCAGCUGGAAAAACGUUUAAAACUGCAUCUGUACUGGACACAUGCAGACCUUUCUCUUGUCGCUGUUCCCUAAACAAUAUACUGCAACAACCUAUUACGUGGCAUUUGCAUGUAUUAGGUACCCUAAGCCAUCAAGAGGUUUACAGCUAUGUACCUGUUAUAUAUGGACGUGAGCACUCAUGGAUUUUGGUAUCUUAAGGGUACCGGCACUGAUCCCUCAUGGAUGCCAAGCCAUAAUUAAUCAUAGUUCAUUACCAGGACUGUAAGAUCCUUGUUUAUUCCUUGUAGUUCUUGUAUUAACUCUACAUUUUAAAAGCUAAAUAUAAGAUGUAGACACCAAUUGAUAUUUCACAUAGGAAAUUACGCAGAUGGAAUGAAAGCUAGAGGAAAUC
rnacentral:lncRNA from 1 species